GCUGGGCAGGCGCAGGCUGGGUUACUAUAAAGAUAGGAAGUCUGUAGUAAAAGAGGGGUGUAGAUAGAUAGGGAGUCUGCAGUUACUCUCUGGGAACAGAGAGGAAGAAACAGAAAUGGAAACCUGAGGAUUCUGAGCCUGAAAGAAGGGUCAUCUCAGAGAAGCUGUGGGGAAGAAAGGCUGGGGGAAAACUGUCCUUAUGAGAACUUAUGCACAGAUGGUAGGAGAGCUGAGCAGUGCUGGUGACACUUGAGUCCUCCUGCUGAAGCAGAGCAGGACGGCUGACAGUAGGUAAUUCCGCGGGGGGGUGGGGGCGUAUGCUGCUGCUCCUUCAAAGAAAAAGGCAGGCUAGGCCUCUACUAAUGUGUGCUGCAGAAAACCGGUCCAGAUUCUCAAGGGUGGAAAUCGAUGUAGCUUCCUAGACUUCAAUUGAGUAAUACCAGGUUACAUCAGAGCACAAGGAAAUUACAACUUUCUUGUUGGACAUCUGAAUUCGAACACUUGAUUGCUGUUGAAAAAUAUCUCCUGCAUGAAGAUGAAGGAGCAAUGUAUUCAAAUAUGGCCUCUCAGUUUUACUACAGACAUCAAACACUGCUGACUCAAGCAUCACCAUGAUACCCAGCGAUGCUGUUCGAUUUGAAAAAUCAAAGCAGUGCAAGAAUGAACACUGAAGUGGAUAGGGAGUUGCUCUUUAAAAUGACAACUGCUCUUCCAGAGAAAGGACUAUCACUGAGAAGCAAUCAAGCCUGUGAUCUGGGCUCCUUGACCUGGGUUGUCUCUUAACUGCUGGCCCACCCCAGGACCAAUGGGUUUUCUACACAUGGACUUGUGGGGAGGAAGUGGAGCACAUGGUAGAGACACAGAGACUCACCUUAAGAACAAGAUUCUGCUGUGCAAGGAACCUAUUGGCACAUUUAAGAAGGACUUCAAAGAGAGAGGGGGCAGAAGGGACUCUUCCCAGCCUGAAAUAGUGAAGAACCUUGGCCUCACAAGAAGGGGUAAACUCAGACUGGAGAGGGUGGCACAGAACCACAUGAGACCCAGUGAUUGAGUCCACUCGCAAGACACUGGUGACUGUACAAUGGGAUACGGGACUAGGUUGCAACUCACGGCAAGAAAAAUGUUAAUGAAAAAUGUCAGAGCAAAAUAAUGAAUAUAUUUCCAAGGCAAUCUUUAUACAUUAUAAAAGAUAGCAAAGGGCACAGCAUGCAGCUGAGUGAGAUUUUCUUGCACCAAAAUUGCUUGCAUGGUGGAGAUUUAGGAAACAGAUUUUUCAUGGUAUUUCAGCACUUAAAGAUUCUGAAUGGCACCUAUUAGGAUUUUCCAAAGCACCUGGGCACCCUCCCAUUGAUUUCAAUAUGAUUUAGAUAUCUAGGCAUUUUUGAAAAUCCCAUGGUGCACAAUUUGAAUCUUUAGGCACAUAAAUACCUUUAAAAGUCUGCCCCCAGAACUCCAAUUGGUGGUGUAUGUGAGUAUAUAGAGUAUAUCCUGUAGGCCGGCUUGACAUGAGUAAUUAAACAAGGGAAAGGCCUCAGUUCUUGGAAGACAGGAUUAGGAAGUUAAAUAGAUCAGCAUGCUGAAAACAGAAUGUUUAUGCUAACUAAAAGACAGGUAAAUGGGUCAGGGAGCUAAGAGACACAAUGUCUGAACUAGCUAAGAUAAGGGGAGGGAACACCCAGGGAACCAUUUACGAAGAACACGAUAACAAUGGACAAGCUAGUUGGGAAUGUAAUGAUAAGGUAAAGAGUAAGUGGAACAUAGACACUGCAUAGACAGAGCGUGCUGUACAGGCAUUAGUUCCUACAAAGUAACGAAGACAAUCCCCAGGUGUGUGAUGCAAUGUAUAGUACAUGCAAUGAGAUGUGUAAAUGCAAAUAAAGAGAGAGGGUUUCUGUGUAACUUUGGAUCGGUGAGGUACCCUGUAUCUAUCCCCCUGGGUUUCAGUCUGUUCAGUGUAGCAUUGCUGUAUGCCAAAUAAAGAUACGUGAAGGGCAAAGUCUCUAGUCAAACUGAGUUCUUAGGAAGCAAAGUGGAAAGAGGUCUUGGAGGGAAUCCCAACAUACCCACCUCACUGAGAUGGAGACCACAUUUGUUUUCCAUUUUCCUAGCCAUUUCCCCAGGACUAAUGUUGGUGAUACUGGCCAAUCCAGAGGCAGUCAAAAUCCAAAGUAAAAAUCCCAUUCUUAGAUGGCCGUAGCACUUUUUCUGCUAGAAGAAGCUGCUGUUCCUGACCCACUCAUGUUAGCAGGAUCCGCCUCCAUCCAGCAUAGCUCAAGCCACCUGUCUUGUGGGGAUUAGGGAGAGGCACAUGCAGAGGAAUGGGAAUACUAAUGGAACUGGAGCAAAGGUCCUUAGUUCAAGAAGUCAAAUAGAGGAGGGUGUAGGUGGGGAAAUGGCUCCUGGCCCAGGAAGCUGUGGAGAGGAGAGCAGAACUAUAGAUAAAGAUUCUGAACAGAAACCUGAUUGGGGGGGAAGCUGGUGCAGGGAAACUUAGAACAGUAUUUCCAUUUCCCCCCAACUUGAUCCCUGAUUAAAACAAUAAAAUAUUAAAUUAUACUAUCCUGUGUGGUAUUAGAAACUAAACCACAAUGGUCUGAGAAAGGAACACUUUCUCUUCCUCUUUCUUUCUAAAAGUAGUACUGACCAAAGUAAUGGUAAGAAAAUAUGACAUUUAAAGCUGUAACUCCCAAUGACAGUUUGCACUUGUUUAAAAGCGUAUUUAACGCCUGUACUCAGCUAAAGUCAAGGGGCCAAAUGCAGAAAUGAUGUAAAUAUGUACUACCUUGCAGUCAUUCAUUGGAUUCCCUUGGAUUUAAUCUCACCUGCUGAUUGAUAUGUAAGGGAGUCUAAUGUAGUCUAACACGCAUCCUGAUGAGCUGGAAUAAAUUGUAAGAAUAUGCAAGUU